rnacentral:rRNA from 1 species
UACAGAGGUCUCAAGCGUUGUUCGGAUUCAUUGGGCGUAAAGGGUGCGUAGGCGGCGCGGUAAGUCGGGUGUGAAAUCUCGGGGCUUAACUCCGAAACUGCAUUCGAUACUGCCGUGCUUGAGGACUGGAGAGGAGACUGGAAUUUACGGUGUAGCGGUGAAAUGCGUAGAUAUCGUAAGGAAGACCAGUGGCGAAGGCGGGUCUCUGGAACGCAACUGACGCUGAGACGCGAAAGCGUGGGGAGCAAACAGG